UGGCUCAGUUGGAAGAGCAUGUGACUCUCAAUCUCAGGGUCGUGAGUUCAAGCCCCAC
rnacentral:tRNA from 1 species